UACUUGAUACGCGAUAUACUUGAGCCACAAACGUUUUUCAGCGCUCACCUUAGCUCCGGCCUUUCUCCGCUUCUGCCCUCGUGCUCGACACUGAAAUCUUCUAAAUAUUGUAUCGGCUUCGUAGAUAUGUUAUUAUUAUACUAUAUGAUUUAUCAUGUCUGACACUUGGGCCAAACCACUUGUCAAAUCAGAAAUAGCAGCGACAACGACAACGAAAACGACAACACGCUGUGAUUUUAGAUAAAUUCAUAACUCAAGCCCAACUUGUCUUGCCUUCGAAGUUCAAAUCACUUGGCACCACUCGCGCACACUCAUACUUACACUCACUCCAAGUCGAACACACACUCACUGACUUGAACGCUUUGGUGUGGGUACUUCAUUUUAAUUAUUUAUUUAUGCGUUAUUUUUGCGCGCGUUCGUUUCGAUAAGCCUGAAAUGGAGAGACACCAUUUAUAUUUACAGUUAUACAUAUCUGGCGUGCGAUACGGACGGGGGCUUAUACUCUGUUUGUUUUCAUUCCGAACUUGAAUUUUCUCGCUGCGGAUCGAUGCGUUUAGGAGGAAGCUGCCACAAAUCAGCUGUUGCCGCUGGCGAGCUACGAUUUAACGAACUUGGAGCCCCCAUUAGAGCCGGCUUAACGAUAAAAACAGAACCCACCGACGCCCGAGUUAUAUUUUGUUUUAAUUAUUUGUUUCAGUUGUACUUCGCCAUACAGUGCGGAAUGCGACAGAAACCCCAGAUGGAAGUAAGCUGCAAAUUUACUCAAACACAUGUUUCGUUUUGUGAUAACUGCGGUAACAGGAAACCCCUCAAACAUAUUGACUAAAGGCCGUUCCAUGUUUACUUUUCCCGGUUUUACAACAAAUGUAGCUAAAAUCCAUUCAAGGUUUGGGGCCCCAACGGCAGUCAUGCAUAGUCUAAAAUCUAGAAAUUUGAUCCGAAAUUUGAUUUUAAUAACCAUUGUAAGUAGGCCUUUCUAUACUUUAUUCUAUACCUUAAUAGGCCCAUUGCCUCAAUGUGUUCGAGACCAAUUAUCACAGACUCGGAAGAACAGGAAAGGUAACGCUCUGCUCUUCAUUGGCCUUAGCUCGAAUAUUUGGUUACUGACAACGCUUCGGGCGCUAUUUAUUUUUGUUUUCACAGCUUCGUUAUUUGUUUGUUUAUCUCCAUAAAAUACGUCAUAAUAAUAGUGACACGCGGUGAGAGAAAUAGUUAUAGGUUGGCUGGAGACGUCAGUUAGAACCACUUUCGGUUGGAUUCGAAAAGAUCGAACUAGAUUUUAAAUCUAGAUCUUUUCAUCUAAUAACAAGAUUUACAUCUCUGAGUUACCAACCGCAAGAGCCGCAAAGAAACUUUGACAGAAAUUAUUACUUAGAAAUAAAUAUUAAUAUCCUAUAUCUCAGCUACAUAUAUUUAAAAAAAACAGCACAGACCUAUUAUAAAUGACAGUAGCUUUGAGCAUUGAAGUCUUUUAUAGCUUUAUGGAAGGGAGUUACUGGAAGUGGAUGGACCCAACCUGCGAUGCAUUUACGUUUUCUGUGCAUCGGACUCCGGCCCUUAAAUGUCCCAUUUUCACUGAUGCAAGUCUGUUAUCAAGUCAAGAAGAAAACAUGCACUUGUGGUGCUCUUUCUACAGGGUGAUAAGGAAAUGGGGUAAACAAAUGGGGAAAAAAUAUACAAAAUUAUAUUGUAAUGGUUGUAGAUUCGAUUCGAAUAAGUAUUCUAUGAUUAAAUUUAAAUUUAAAAACAAUUUAAGAAACAAAUUCAAGUUUAGGAAAACAUUUAUUUAUACAUUUAUUUAUACAUUUAUAAGUUAUUAUUUUUUAACGUGCAUGUGUAACUGAUUCUUCCGACUAAAGUAGUUUUAAACGAUUUAAAGAAAUGCUGAAACCGAAUCCUCAUUACUUUUUAUGUUUGAUAUUUUGACUUUGGCCUUUGCCACAUUCGGUUUGGUCACCCUGUUUGUGGCGUCUGAAUGGGACCCGCUCUAUACGCACCAAGGCACCCAAGCGGCGGGGCAUCCAUCCCCGGCCUUUUCCGGCUAUCAUUCCGCUUUACUCUUGAGCUGGCGGCAGCCUCGACGUCUGCGCUGGCUUGCCCACCCCCUCUUGGAACUCGCCCCCUAGCUGCGCACCUCUCUGACUCUGAUAAGCCAGCCGCCCCACUCGCCUCGACUCCGUUGAUGCUGCGAAAGGUCUUCUUUGUUGCGAGUUGGAAAAAAGGCAAAAAUUAUUAUAACAGGAGACGAAGAAGAAGAUCGGCGAGAAGAAGCAGAGUAAACAGCACGAGGCUUAGUGAGGCGGCAACGGCGCUUGGUUGCAGACAUUUACAACAAUAACAGUAACAUCAAAAGCAGCAGUUACACUAAAAGAAAUUGAAGGAUAAAUAAUCGAUAAAUAAGAACUUUGACGAACAAUAAGAUGUUAUUUUCAUAAGGAUUUCUCCUUUCUUCUCACGCAGCUUGCUUCUUAAACGACUUAUAGCAAAUAAAGCAAUUCCCUAAAUUAGUUUGAAAAAUAGUCAUGCAUUUGUCAUUGUGCACACACUCUGCAUAUAAUAAAAGCUAAAAAAUAAUAACUACAGCAGCUAAAACAACAGCAAUAACAAAAAAAAACAACGAGCGUCAUCGACGACAACAACGACAACGGCAACGACAACGACAACGACGACUACUCCACGAACUGGCAGUGAGACGUUGAUUGCCACGGAAUGCCGUCAAACAGGUUAAAAAUCAAGUGCAGAACAAGGAAGAAACAUCGAAUGAUGCUCUCCUCGGUCCCCCUCUACAGAUGCUCGAACAAUUGAUGAUUUCUUUUUAAACUCGAGUUGCACUGAUGAAUACGUGGCAAGGUUCCCCAGAAACCAAGUAACUCAACGGAAGAUGGUGGGCAGAGAGAAUACAACGCAAUGGAAAAAUAAAAAAAAUUAAUAGAAUAAAUACCUGUUCACUUAUUUUGUUUUGGCGGGUACUGGGAAAUCGCAUUGAGGGCACUUAAAAGUUAGUAUUUGUUUACAACUAUAUUGCGGGUCGAGGAAUUUACUACAAGUAAGCAAUUCGAUUUAAUUAUAACCAAACAAUUAAAAUAGAAACUACUUGGAAGGGAAGAAUGGAGAUCAAAGGCUCUUGAUAUUUGCAUAAAAGUCCAUUUUGGAAUUCAAUUUCAAAACCGUUUCUUUUAUUCGGUUUUAUUCACUCAGUUACUCAAGCAGAGUGUUGGGUUUUUCACUUUCUUUUAAUUUUUUUUGGAUUUUCCCCAGCGACCUGACCAGGUUACAAACUAGUACCGUUAAUCUCAAUGGAAGAAAGUCAAAUCCGAGCUUGACCAAACAUCUCGAACUCGGCCAAAUGACUGGACAAACAUCACGCUUGCGCCGCCGGAGAUCAAUGGGCAGUAUCGUUGACAAGCGUCAAACGCUUUCCACACACACAAGAAUUACCAGGCCGGCCGGGGGAACAUUAAAAUCUCAUUACCAAUGCUAAUUGAAUGAGGGAGACCCGCAGUCCACUGCCCCUUUCCAUCAAGUUCAAAAUCACAAUUUUUCUUUACACUUUUCUCUGCCAGUGGUGGCCAGAACGCAGCCUGUUUGGGAUUUGUGGUGCUCCGGGCGAGCGAUGUUUGUUAUUUUCCAAGUGCCCACACGCUCUUACAUAAAUUAUUAACAGCCGAUGGCAAAUAAAUAAACAAACAUUGAGCCAGCUACUGCAGCUACUCUGCUCUUCUUCGGAUUUCGUAUCUGUAUCUGCGUCUGUAUCUGUAUCUGCAUCUGCAGCUUUACGGCUAAAUCAUCGCCAUCGCUGAAGCUGUCAUCAUUGGCGUAUCUGGAAUCCGAAUCGAGCAAAGUUCAAAACCGAGUCAGAAAACAAAAGCAAAAUAAAAAAAAAAAUAAAAAACUGCGUACUAGGAAUUAAUUUUACUAAAUAUGACUGAUUUCUCUCUCUGUACUCGAUUUUCGAUGGCCUGGCCUGCUCGGAUGCAUUACCGACUACUUAACAGCAAAUCACUAAACAUGCUUAAAUAUUUCAACUUGUCCGGUAGCCUGUUUGUCAUUUGCCAGCGACAUUUGCCGAGCGGCGAUAUCUGAAAAAACUCUACUCGAGAGUCUUGAGCGUCGCAGGCCUUGACAAAAGAAAUGAACUGUUUUAAUGUGCUGCCAGUUGGCUCCGCUCUCCUCUGGAGGAGCCACGACCAGCCCAGCGGAAAACUACAAACCCCAAAUUGAAAAAUCAUCAACCUCGUCAGCUCUGAAUCUCCGCUUACUGGCCUGGCCCUGGUCAAUAUUUGACUAAGAAAUUUUUCACAUUACCGGACGAGGCGAUCGGGCGAAGAACAGAAUAGGGUCUUCUGAAUCCUCUCUUUAAGAUGGGGUAUAUUGGUCCGAAAGCUGUCAUGAUAAUACAAUUCUGCUUAGUAUUUAUUAAAACUAGUCAGCGGAAUUGGAAUAUAGAAAUUUUACUUUUGAUUAAUUAUGAAAUAUCGAUUGAUAUGUCACAUCUCCACAGAUUUACUUAUAGAUGUAAUGGAUUUCAGGUACCGCCCUCAAAAAUGUUCUGAAGGAACAAUAUUGAAAUUUUAUGCUGGAAUGCAAUAGGAUAUACUAUUAUGCGAGAGUUAAAUUAAAACUUUUCUGUUUAUGUUGAUUUAAAACUAAAAUAUAUUCGAAAAUUUGUAUAUUAAA